UACGUAGGGUGCGAGCGUUGUCCGGAAUUACUGGGCGUAAAGAGCUCGUAGGUGGUUUGUCGCGUUGUUCGUGAAAACUCACAACUCAAUUGUGGGCGUGCGGGCGAUACGGGCAGACUGGAGUACUGCAGGGGAGACUGGAAUUCCUGGUGUAGCGGUGGAAUGCGCAGAUAUCAGGAGGAACACCCGUGGCGAAGGCGGUUCUCUGGGACGGUACUGACGCUGAGACGCGAAAGCGUGGGGAGCGAACAGG
rnacentral:rRNA from 1 species